CCUACGGGUGGCAGCAGUGGGGGAUAUUGCACAAUGGGGGAAACCCUGAUGCAGCGACGCCGCGUGGGUGAAGAAGUAUUUCGGUAUGUAAAGCCCUAUCAGCAGGGAAGAAAGAAGACGGUACCUGACUAAGAAGCCCCGGCUAACUACGUGCCAGCAGCCGCGGUAAUACGUAGGGGGCGAGUGUUAUCCGGAUUCACUGGGUGUAAAGGGAGCGUAGACGGCCGUGCAAGCCAGGAGUGAAAGCCCGGGGCCCAACCCCGGGACUGCUCUUGGAACUGUGCGGCUGGAGUGCGGGAGGGGCAGGCGGAAUGCCUGGUGUAGCGGUGAAAUGCGUAGAUAUCAGGAGGAACACCGGCGGCGAAGGCGGCCUGCUGGACCGCGACUGACGUUGAGGCUCGAAAGCGUGGGGAGCGAACAGGAUUAGAUACCCUUGUAGUC
rnacentral:rRNA from 1 species